rnacentral:rRNA from 1 species
UACGACCUCAACUCAAGCAAGACUACCCGCUGAACUUAAGCAUAUCAGUAAGCGGAGGAAAAGAAACUAACUAGGAUUU